rnacentral:rRNA from 1 species
GACAGAGGUGCCGAGCGUUAGGCGGAAUCACUGGGCUUAAAGCGUGUGUAGGCGGAUGGGUAAGAACCUUGUGAAAUCCCACGGCUCAACCGUGGAACUGCUCGGUAUACUGCUCGUCUUGAGCCAACUAGGGGCGACCGGAACAAACGGUGGAGCGGUGAAAUGCGUAGAUAUCGUUUGGAACGCCGAUGGUGAAAACAGGUCGCUGGGGUUGUGCUGACGCUGAGGCGCGAAAGCUAGGGGAGCAAACGGG